CAGUCAUUACCAAGGCUUUGAGAACGCAGUUUCUCAUUUGCUGUGGACACAACCAUAAAAACAACUUCCCACUAGGUUUUCUCCUCCUUGCUAGCACUCAGCCUAUUGGGAACAUUU
ensembl:snoRNA